rnacentral:lncRNA from 1 species
CUCGGACCAUAUAUAGGAAUGAGCUCUCCUUGUGAGUAGCACACUUUAAUACUUUAUUUUGUCUUUUCAAACAUCAAAACCAAUUCAUAUAUUCAUAUUUCAAUAUGCAUUCAAAUGUUCAUCUGCAUCUAAUAACUCCUCCAAGAAAAUCAAACACGUUUCUGCAACUCCUAACUAAAAUCAAAAUCAACAACAAUCUACAAAACACAAUAAAUACAUUAUUAUUACAAUUUAUCUUGUCACAUCAUUAAACUGUCUAACUCAAAUCUAUCAAAUUGUUGGGGUGGGGUGGGGAUAUGAAUAACGAAACGGAAGGUACGCUACUCGGAAAGGCAGAACGUCGUUAUAUUCUAUUAUUUAUAAUAGAUUCUGCACGAGAAUCACGAUCCUACCCUCAUACAAAAGGGUAGGAUACCUUCAUUGCGAUAUACAAUAGCCAAUCAAAUCAUACAAUAACAAACCAUGUACGCAACCUUGUACUCA